rnacentral:rRNA from 1 species
UACGAAGGGGGCUAGCGUUGUUCGGAAUUACUGGGCGUAAAGCGUAUGCAGGCGGACCGUUAAGUCGGAGGUGAAAUCCCAGGGCUCAACCCUGGAACUGCCUUCGAUACUGGCGGCCUUCGAGUCCGGGAGAGGUGAGUGGAACUCCGAGUGUAGAGGUGAAAUUCGUAGAUAUUCGGAAGAACACCAGUGGCGAAGGCGGCUCACUGGCCCGGUACUGACGCUGAGAUACGACAGCGUGGGGAGCAAACAGG